AUGGGCCGCGUGAUCAAAGGGCAGAGGAAGGGCGCCGGGUCUGUGUUCCCUGCGCAAGUGAAGCACCUUUAAGGCUCCGCGUGCCUGGACGCCGUAGAUUUCGCGGAGCGGCACGGCUACAUCAAGGGCACUCUGAAGUACGUCAUCCACUACCCGGGCCGCAGCGCGCCCCUCGCCAAGGUGGUUUUCCGAGAUCCGUACCGGUUUAAAAAGCAAACGGAGCUAUUCAUUGCCGCCGAGGGCAUUCACACAGGCCAGUUUGUGUAUUGCGGCAAGACGGCUCAGCUCAACGUUGACAAUAUGCUCCCUGUGGGCCCCAUGACUGAGGGUACAAUCGUGUGCUGCCUGAAGGAGAAACCUGGAGACUGUGGCAAGCUGGCCCAGGCAUCAGGGAACUAUGUCACCGUUAUCUCCUACAACCCUGAGACCAAGAAGACCCAUGUGAAGCUGCCCUCUGGCUCCAAGAAGGUUAUCUCCUCAGCCAACAGAGCUGUGGUUGGUGUGGUGGCUGGAGGUGGCCGAACUGACAAACCCAUCUUGAAGGCUGGCAGGGCCUACUACAAAUAUAAGGCAAAGAGGAAUUGCUGGCCACGAGUAGUGGAACCCUGUGGAGCAUCCUUUUGAAGGUGGUAACCCCCAGCACAUUGGCAAGCCCUCCAUCAUCCGCAGAGAUGCCCCUGCUGGCUGCAAAGUGGGUCUCACUGCUGCCCACCCGACUGGACUUCUCCAAGGAACCAAGACUGUGCAGGAGAAAGAGAGCUAG